GUCGAACGGUAACAUUUCUAGCUUGCUAGAAGAUGACGAGUGGCGGACGGGUGAGUAAUGCUUGGGAACUUGCCUUUGCGAGGGGGAUAACAGUUGGAAACGACUGCUAAUACCGCAUAAUGUCUUCGGACCAAACGGGGCUUAGGCUCCGGCGCAAAGAGAGGCCCAAGUGAGAUUAGCUAGUUGGUAAGGUAACGGCUUACCAAGGCGACGAUCUCUAGCUGUUCUGAGAGGAAGAUCAGCCACACUGGGACUGAGACACGGCCCAGACUCCUACGGGAGGCAGCAGUGGGGAAUAUUGCACAAUGGGGGAAACCCUGAUGCAGCCAUGCCGCGUGUGUGAAGAAGGCCUUCGGGUUGUAAAGCACUUUCAGUUGUGAGGAAAAGUUAGUAGUUAAUACCUGCUAGCCGUGACGUUAACAACAGAAGAAGCACCGGCUAACUCCGUGCCAGCAGCCGCGGUAAUACGGAGGGUGCGAGCGUUAAUCGGAAUUACUGGGCGUAAAGCGCACGCAGGCGGUUUGUUAAGCUAGAUGUGAAAGCCCCGGGCUCAACCUGGGAUGGUCAUUUAGAACUGGCAGACUAGAGUCUUGGAGAGGGGAGUGGAAUUCCAGGUGUAGCGGUGAAAUGCGUAGAUAUCUGGAGGAACAUCAGUGGCGAAGGCGACUCCCUGGCCAAAGACUGACGCUCAUGUGCGAAAGUGUGGGUAGCGAACAGGAUUAGAUACCCUGGUAGUCCACACCGUAAACGCUGUCUACUAGCUGUGU
rnacentral:rRNA from 1 species